CACAGGGGUCCCCUACCUGGCAGCUCAAGCCCAGCCCCCUUUCCUGGUACCCUGAGAGGCCCCACCACCACCUCGUGCCAGUCAAGGGUGAUGUGUGGGCCGCUGGGCCUUUGAUCCCUGUCAGGGUCACUCAGAGAAGCCUGGGUGAACAUGAAAGUUCGAUGCUAAGCCACAUCCAAGCCAAGACUCAGGAACAAGCAGGGACCUUGCCUGUAGUGUCCCCAACUCCUGAGCAGCUCUCCAGCUUCUGGAUCCCCUGGCUCUUUUUGGCUGAGGGGGCUCCUCUGUGUAACUCGGCCAGGCCCUCUUUCCAGGCUUUUAUUCUUCCUGCAGCCAGAGAGGGGGGCAGAGGGAGCCUCUGGUGCCAGCUCUGAGGCCUCUCUUGAAGCCCAGCCUGAAGGUGUCUGUCCCCACCUGCUGCUACCCCCACCCUGAGAUGGGGGCUUAGAACCUUUGCCCUGGUGGCUUGCCCUGCUGGGACCCCUUCUUCUAAUCUCAGAAUGACCGACCCCUCGCCUCCCUCACGUCGCUGUUUCAGAGCUACUUUCUCACCCAGAUCCCCGACCUGGUGCUCCUAGUUUCCCCACCCACCUGUGCUACGUGUUCCCAGGUGUCUGCCACCUGCAGCAGGCUGCCCAGUCAUUCCUCCCUCCCCGUGUGCUUUCAUCAUCGAGCCCCUUCUGGCCCCAUCCUCCAGCUCCCGCCGUGUUGCUCAGAGCAGCUCACGGUGCACGGCGACUCCGGGGAAUGGGGUUCCCACAGCUCCCCGGCUUCCAUAAAGGCCACGGCGGGCUCUGCAGGGCAAGCUGGCCUCUGCGAUCACUGCGCAGUGACCCCUCACAAGUAGCAUUUUUGCACUUGGGAGUCUACACGUUUUUUCAUUUUAAAAGGAGUUUGUCCCUGCUGUUUGAGAAAUAUGCCCAGGAACACAGCCCUUCUCAGAGAGUCUGGUUACUUAAAAGGAAAGCUCUUGAUUACAUAGGGGAGUUCACCGUGGUGCAAUGUUGACGGAGGCAUGGCCAGCACAGGGCAGGAGCUGGGGGACUGACACCUCUGAGGACAGGUAGACACUCAUCAUAGCAGCAACACACUGCUUGCACCUGCAGAGGCCACAGGCUCAGCAGAGCUGCCCUGGCGAUGCUGGUGAUUUCAGGAGGUCUCUCUAGAGUGCCGGGAGAUGCUGCACCCUCAGAAGUGGCCGCCAGGAGUGGCUCUGGCAGAUUGAGAUGGUGAUUUAGCUGAUCAUGCCGCCGUCCGUGUUCACUCUCCAUCAGAAGCCACACCUCACUCUCUUAGAGCGAGGGAGAGACACACUCAAGCUGGGGGCAAAUGGCAUCUGCAGAGCCAGAUCCAGGGGCCAGGAGGAUCGGGGACUCCCCGGGAGGAGUCUCCAUGCCACGUGAGUCAAUCAGGGAACCCUAAUUGGAAAGCAGUAAUACAAAGUAAUUGAGUUUAAUACAUAAUUUAGAUGGUUACUCGUUAAGCUAAUGCCUCCCGCUUAGGUGUGGGGAGAAAAUUAUCUAGUAGACGGGGAAGAUUUCAUUUGUUUUUAUAAUGGUAUGCUCGCCAAUUGACUUUAGUAAGAGCAGUUUGUUAAAUCAGAUUUUGAAUUGGUGCAUAGAUUUGAAGUUCAUAAGUUAGUUUUUGAUGUGAUAUACUUAGCGCCUCCCUUCUUCCCUUAAAGUGGCUGGAUUUAUUCUCCCAUGAGGCUGUGCGCUCAUUGUUGUCCUGCAUUAUGGAAAUUACAUCAGUUCUCCGUGGUGUCUUCAUGAGAGGCAAUUUUACUCCUGACUUCUACCU
rnacentral:lncRNA from 10 species